GACGAACGCUGGCGGCGUGCUUAACACAUGCAAGUCGAACGGUGAACCAGAGCUUGCUCUGGGGAUCAGUGGCGAACGGGUGAGUAACACGUGGGCAACCUGCCCAGACUCUGGGAUAACCUCGGGAAACCGAUGCUAAUACCGGAUACGACCACUUCGGACAUCCGACGGUGGUGGAAAGUUUUCGGUCUGGGAUGGGCCCGCGGCCUAUCAGCUAGUUGGUGGGGUAAUGGCCUACCAAGGCGACGACGGGUAGCCGGCCUGAGAGGGCGACCGGCCACACUGGAACUGAGACACGGUCCAGACUCCUACGGGAGGCAGCAGUGGGGAAUAUUGCACAAUGGGCGAAAGCCUGAUGCAGCGACGCCGCGUGAGGGACGACGGCCUUCGGGUUGGUAAACCUACUUUCAGCAGGACGAAGCGAAGUGACUGUACCUGCAGAAGAAGACACCGGCUAACUACGUAGCCAGCAGCCGCGGUAAU
rnacentral:rRNA from 1 species